UCAGGACCCAGAUCCAGAAGUUUACAAGGUAAGAGCCACCUUUCACUUCUUUCUUCAUGAGGAGGGUGCUGCAUGGUAAUAGCAGAGCAAUACUGCCCUUUCUGAUAAUGUCUCUGCAUGGAAAGACAACCUCAAACUCUUCCAACAGCAUUUUCUGUUUGAGGUGCAGGACAGUCUUCCCAGAUUCCGCAGUGGCCAGGCCUCCAAGCCUUUGUUGACCACGUCCCCUCUGAUCUCCCCUGCUCCCUGAGAUCCAGGGCUUCUCCCAAGGGCAUGUCAGUUAACAGCUAUCUCGUGGCGACAGCUCUCAGGCACCGAUACUCUCUCUGGAGUGUCACAUACCAGGCCAGGGGAACGAUGGCUGCUGUUGCAAUCCCUCCCCUCUCCUUUCUAGAAAUGGCGUUGAGUGAAACAUCCCCCCCUCUUGAAAGAGAACAGCAGGGCUCAGCUCAGUGAGGUCCUUUGAAAGGCACCUAGCUGGUCCUGGGGAGGACUGAGCUGGGGCAACUCUCCUUUUCAGGCCUGUCGAAGCACUUUCCUGGUCUGCACUCCAUGCCUGGAGUCACCUAGUCACCUAGUGAGUAAGCUGUGGCCCAGGGUAAGACUGCCUGGUGGCAGUGACUUUCCCUGGCUCAGAGACCUGGAGCAUGGAGUGGCCUUCAGGGAAGUGGUAGAGUGGGAACUAGCAUGGCAAUGAUGGGAACUGUCAGUCCCUUGCAGCCUCCGUCUCUUUCCUUCCUCUCCUAGUUCAUCUGCCCUCUUUGCCAAGGUUCAAUGGCAGGGCCUUUUCAGCCAAAGAACUCCUGUUUCUCUGUUUUCUACCAGGCCAGAAACAUCCCAGAGCUUCUGGAAAGYGUCUAUGACACCCUCCAGACCUACUUCUGGAGCUCGUGUUGGGGGAUGCGGACUGCAGCCAUCCGAUUAGCUGGUGUUAUCCUGGAAAACGCAGACAGCCAGUGGCUGAGAGAGCACAACACGAGUUUUCUGCGUACAGGUGGGUUACAGUUGCCCUUCCUGCAUCCUAUAGAAAGAUGUCACCACCUUCCACUGCCCAACGCUACCCCUUCUCUCUGGUGUCGUGCCCCAAUACUCAUCCUGGGUAUGACUU
rnacentral:lncRNA from 1 species